UGUGUGUGAUAGUUCAGAUACAUGUGAGGGGAAAAACUUUGGCCGUCCUCGUCGUGUGGCUUGUGUUUGUGUGUUUGCAGCAGGUCUAGGACAGUGGUGUAGGUCAGAAAGGUGGGCUGCACAGCAGGAGGCGUAACAGAGGAGCUAUUUUGGGGGCGCCGUUCACAUGUGGGAGGAGAGGCCAUAAAUCAGCCAUCAGAAAUCCACUACACUGAUUUCUCCUCCACCAUCGCUCAUCUGACCACUCUCUAACCAACACUUCUCCAUACAGGGCACGUAGCGCAAGGUGACCAUGUCUGAGGG